rnacentral:rRNA from 1 species
UACGGAGGGGGCUAGCGUUGUUCGGAAUUACUGGGCGUAAAGCGCGCGUAGGCGGACCUGCAAGUCGGGGGUGAAAGCCCGAGGCUCAACCUCGGAACUGCCUUCGAUACUGCGGGUCUCGAGUCCGGGAGAGGUGAGUGGAAUUCCUAGUGUAGAGGUGAAAUUCGUAGAUAUUGGGAAGAACACCAGUGGCGAAGGCGGCUCACUGGCCCGGAACUGACGCUGAGGUGCGAAAGCGUGGGGGCAACAGG